rnacentral:rRNA from 1 species
CACGUAGGGGGCAAGCGUUGUCCGGAAUCAUUGGGCGUAAAGAGCUCGUAGGCGGCUCGGUAAGUCGGGUGUGAAACCCCCAGGCUCAACCUGGGGACGCCACCCGAUACUGCUGUGGCUAGAGUCCAGUAGGGGAGUGUGGAAUUCCCGGUGUAGCGGUGAAAUGCGCAGAUAUCGGGAGGAACACCAGCGGCGAAGGCGGCACUCUGGGCUGGAACGUGACGCUGAGGAGCGAAAGCGUGGGUAGCAAACAGG